UCCCCGGUAGUAUAUCGGUUAGUACACCCGCCUGUCAUUUCCCUGAGGGCCCGCGGGAGAGCGGGGUUCGACUCCCCGCCGAGGAG